AGGUGCGAUCAUAUCAGCGCUUAUGCACCGGAUCCCAUCACAACUCCGUAGUUAAGCGUUCUUGCGCCAGAGUAGUACUAGGAUGAGUGACCUCCUGGGAAGUCCUCGUGUUGCACCUC
rfam:Lupinus angustifolius cultivar Tanjil chromosome LG02, whole genome shotgun sequence.